rnacentral:rRNA from 1 species
UGUUUCCCGGCAGCACGGGGGCAACCCUGGUGGCGAGUGGCGAACGGGUGAGUAAUGCAUCGGAACGUGCCCAGUAGUGGGGGAUAACACAUCGAAAGAUGUGCUAAUACCGCAUACGCACUACGGUGGAAAGCGGGGGAUCGAAAGACCUCGCGCUAUUGGAGCGGCCGAUGUCCGAUUAGCUAGUUGGUGGGGUAAUGGCCUACCAAGGCUACGAUCGGUAGCUGGUCUGAGAGGAUGAUCAGCCACACUGGGACUGAGACACGGCCCAGACUCCUACGGGAGGCAGCAGUGGGGAAUUUUGGACAAUGGGCGCAAGCCUGAUCCAGCCAUGCCGCGUGAGUGAAGAAGGCCUUCGGGUUGUAAAGCUCUUUCGGCCGGAACGAAAUCGUCCGGGCUAAUACCCCGGAUGGAUGACGGUACCGGAAGAAGAAGCACCGGCUAACUACGUGCCAGCAGCCGCGGUAAUACGUAGGGUGCAGGCGUUAAUCGGAAUUACUGGGCGUAAAGCGUGCGCAGGCGGCUUCUCAAGUCAGAUGUGAAAUCCCCGGGCUUAACCUGGGAACUGCGUUUGAAACUGAGAGGCUAGAGUGCGGCAGAGGGGGGUGGAAUUCCACGUGUAGCAGUGAAAUGCGUAGAUAUGUGGAGGAACACCGAUGGCGAAGGCAGCCCCCUGGGCCAGCACUGACGCUCAUGCACGAAAGCGUGGGGAGCAAACAGGAUU